rnacentral:rRNA from 1 species
GACGAACGCUGGCGGCGUGCUUAACACAUGCAAGUCGAACGAUGAAGCCGGAGCUUGCUCUGGUGAAUUAGUGGCGAACGGGUGAGUAACAUGUGAGUAACCUGCACUUGACUCUGGGAUAACUGCGGGAAACUGUAGCUAAUACCGGAUACGACCCUCGGAGGCAUCUCCUGGGGGUGGAAAGAAUUUCGGUCAAGGAUGGAUACGCGGCCUAUCAGCUAGUUGGGGAGGUAAAGGCCCACCAAGGCGACGACGGGUAGCCGGCCUGAGAGGGUGACCGGCAACACUGGGACUGAGACACGGCCCAGACUCCUACGGGAGGCAGCAGUGGGGAAUAUUGCACAAUGGGCGCAAGCCUGAUGCAGCAACGCCGCGUGAGGGAUGACGGCCUUCGGGUUGUAAACCUCUUUUAGCAGGGAAGAAGCGAAAGUGACGGUACCUGCAGAAAAAGCACCGGCUAACUACGUGCCAGCAGCCGCCGUAA